UCAUCUUAGUGUAGUUCACACAAUACACAUAACCGAAAGGCUGUAGGUAUCAUUACAUGAAAAAGGGGAGGGGCUUAAGACUUAAUUUAGGCUUGAUAAAUAAGACGGACUUAAUUUGACGCUACCUGUUUCCAUGUUGAGUCCAAUUUCUGCUCCGGCUCCCGUGAAGGCACCGCUCCAGGUUGACCCCGUCCCCGAGUCCCCUUUGCCCCCAAGGUCACAGGGAGAGACAUUGGGCCCCGACACUGAGCUGCCUGGUGUCAGCCGGUGGUGAGGCCUCACUGACGGCACCAACAGUGAGCCGUAGCGCGGGUCAAACGCCGUCCCGUACAUCUCGUGGACGCCCGUGCGGGGAUACGCCACACUCUGGGUCCCUAUGGCGCCCCCUAGUGAGUAUGGGUGGUGAUGGUGGUGAUGGUGGUGGUGGUGGGAUGGGUGCCAGGUGUCGGGGCUGGGCUGGUGGAGAUGGCUGUGCAGGGAAGUGGAGGAGUAGGGGUCCCCAGGGAAGGAGAGCUCCGAAUGGGGAGCCGAGAGUCCGCUGCCCAGCGCGGAGGAAACUGACGGCUGGUACGAACUGUUCCAGAAAGACGGGGGAAAACUUCGCUGGUUCAUCGGAAACGAUCCCUCUGAGGAGACACAAAUGAUUCCACAUGAUUUACUACAAAAAGAAACUCACGCACACACACACCUCUUACGCUCUUGUGGCUGCUCGUCGCAGGAUACGCCGUCGACUGACUGAGCGCUCGGCUGAAGUGCUCGUCCACCACGGCGCUGAUGUCGCCCUGGAAGGGCUGUAGGAGCUGAAAUAAGGCUGAGGUCCAAACACUUGGUACAUCACAUCCAAGCAGCUCAUGGCGAACAAAAAUCACGCAGAAGAACCAGGCGUCAUGGAGAGAGCGGCGCAGUCCGGCUCAGCUCAGGCGGAGAGGAAGCGUUAAUCCCGGCUGCGGUCACUCUGGAGAGUCGCUGUGUCUCUUUCGCUCUCUUUCUGCUCCGCUGCCUCUGCGCUCUUUACGCACUGAACUGCGGCCGCGCUCAACACGAGCGAGGAAAGGGGGUACCCGCCUCCUCCACCGCCCCCUCCACCAAUCACAGGCCGAGCUCCACCUCCACCUUAAUGAACGAAUUCAGAUGACUGGAAAACAUCAUAAUCAACAGGGGCCUUUCAAGAGAGUUCGGGGGACCUCGGGGGCCCCACACUGAACCCAUCCACCCCAGUGUUG